GCUUGUCUCAAAGAUUAAGCCAUGCAUGUCUUAGUGUAAAUAACUCUUAUGAAACUGCGAAUGGCUCAUUAAAUCAGUUAUCAAAUACGUGAUGGUCGCCUACUACAUGGAUAACCGUAGUAAUUCUAGAGCUAAUACAUGCACAAAGGCCCACUCACGUGGGUUGUGAUUAUUAGAUUCAAACCGGCCUCGUUCUGGUGAUUCAUAAUAAUUGGUCGAACCGCAUGCCCUUGUGGUGGCGGUGAUUCAUCCUUAUUUCUGCCCUAUCAACUUUCGAUGGUAGUGUAUUGGACUACCAUGGCAGUAACGGGUAACGAAGAAUUAGGGUUCGAUUUCGGAGAGGGAGCAUGAGAAACGGCUACCACAUCUAAGGAAGGCAGCAGG
rnacentral:rRNA from 1 species